rnacentral:rRNA from 1 species
AAUAGAUACCCAGGUAGUCCACGCCGUAAACGAUGAGUGCUAAGUGUUAGAGGGUUUCCGCCCUUUAGUGCUGCAGCUAACGCAUUAAGCACUCCGCCUGGGGAGUACGACCGCAAGGUUGAAACUCAAAGGAAUUGACGGGGGCCCGCACAAGCGGUGGAGCAUGUGGUUUAAUUCGAAGCAACGCGAAGAACCUUACCAGGUCUUGACAUCCUCUGACCUCCCUAGAGAUAGGGCCUUCCCCUUCGGGGGACAGAGUGACAGGUGGUGCAUGGUUGUCGUCAGCUCGUGUCGUGAGAUGUUGGGUUAAGUCCCGCAACGAGCGCAACCCUUGACCUUAGUUGCCAGCAUUCAGUUGGGCACUCUAAGGUGACUGCCGGUGACAAACCGGAGGAAGGUGGGGAUGACGUCAAAUCAUCAUGCCCCUUAUGACCUGGGCUACACACGUGCUACAAUGGAUGGUACAAAGGGCUGCGAGACCGCGAGGUUAAGCCAAUCCCAUAAAACCAUUCUCAGUUCGGAUUGCAGGCUGCAACG